CCUGGAUCUUCCUCUGCACCCCUUUAUCCCCACCCUUAUCUGCCUGAAUAACUUCCAUUAUCCAUCAAGAUUCAACUAAAACCACCACCUCCAAGAAGGCUGCCCUGGGAGGCUUAGUGAUCUAGGAAUGAAUUUGAUUAAGAAGGUGAGAUUUUUUUUUUAAGCACAAAUAUCAGCAGAACACAUGAACAAGAGUGACCCUACACUUUUGGUUAACAAUGACAGAAGAACUACAGUAUCAGAUUGGAAAUUUUCCGUAAGAAAGCAUGCUUCUAACCUACCCCUGGAAAAAGUGCUACAACUUAUUUCACACCUAAGGUGAAUGAAUCGUGUAGAGGCUUCAAGAAGUACUCGAGAUGGCAUGCCUGCCUAUCAGUAAACGCCUGUUUCUUCAAGGAGGUCAGAUAUUUCUAGAUAAAGGACACCACAGCCUGAAGGAAGUACACAUUUAGGUCAACAUAAACUCAUUCAGCUCGACUUUUUAUCCAAAAAUGCACCUUUGGAUACAUGUGGCUCCAAACACACCAGUUCUCGUGCAUGAUCACUUCCAGAAGAUUAUCGGUCAUCUCGAACACCAAUUAUGUCAUUGCAACAUCUUGGAAACAAUCACGGGUCUCCUGGCACUACUAAGGUUUUUCAUCAGCGUCUGUAGCCUCAAAUGUGAGGCUGCAAACAUUUCUUAGGUAAUCUCAUAAAGAAGAUAAAUAUCCCUGGACCCUCUUCUCUAGUAUUUUGCUCAUCUUUUCAAGGCCUUAGGCACACAAAAUUAUUUUCUUCACCCAACCGAGUCGGCUUGGCCGGCACACGGUACCGAACUUGCAGCAGUGAUGGUCGCUGCACAAAAGCAGUGGCGACAGCAGCAACGGCUGCAGCCGCCGGAGGCAGGAGGGGCUCUCGAGGCCGGUACUGUGGGGACCCAGGGUGGGAGGCUGGCUUGCCCAUCAGUCCCGGGAGCCUGGCUGUGGCGUCUGCACGAAUAUUAACUCUGGCCAGACGACAACCGACCGAACAGGAACUGCUGGAAUGCGGGCAGUAAACUUGUUCAGUAAAUUAUUACAAAAUAAAAGUUUCCACAUCGACACUGCAAGAAAACAUGUCACGCGUUCGUAAUCCUUUGAAGACUUUAGGAUCUCAGUUUUUAAAACUGCUUCAACGUUGCAAAGCACAUAUCCACAGACUUAGAAACA